UUUUGUUCAGACACAAAUACUGAUUUAUUGAUCUACUUUACUACAAAUCAAUCUUCUUGAAACAACAUGAUCUAUUCUCUGUUUCUAAACAAAGAGAAGAGUGGGGGUGGCCAAGCUGUAGCCUGACUUGAUUAUUUAUAAUCAGA